rnacentral:rRNA from 1 species
AGUGAACGCUGGCGGUAGGCCUAACACAUGCAAGUCGAACGGCAGCACAGUAAGAGCUUGCUCUUACGGGUGGCGAGUGGCGGACGGGCGAGGAAUACAUCGGAAUCUACUUUUUCGUGGGGGAUAACGUAGGGAAACUUACGCUAAUACCGCAUACGACCUACGGGUGAAAGCAGGGGAUUUUCGGACCUUGCGCGAUUGAAUGAGCCGAUGUUGGAUUAGCUAGUUGGCGGGGUAAAGGCCCAGCAAGGCGACGAUCCGUAGCUGGUCUGAGAGGAUGAUCAGACACCCUGGAACUGAGACACGGUCCAGACUCCUACGGGAGGCAGAAGUGGGGAAUAUUGGACAAUGGGCGCAAGCCUGAUCCAGCCAUACCGCGUGGGUGAAGAAGGCCUUCGGGUUGUAAAGCCCUUUUGUUGGGAAAGAAAAGCAGCAGGUUAAUACCCCGCUGUUCUGACGGUACCCAAAGAAUAAGCACCGGCUAACUUCGUG